CCUACGGGUGGCAGCAGUGGGGGAUAUUGCACAAUGGGGGGAACCCUGAUGCAGCGACGCCGCGUGGGUGAAGGAGCGCCUCGGCGCGUAAAGCCCUAUCAGCAGGGAAGAAGAUGACGGUACCUGUACAAGAAGCCCCGGCUAACUACGUGCCAGCAGCCGCGGUAAUACGUAGGGGGCAAGCGUUAUCCGGAUUUACUGGGUGUAAAGGGGGCGCAGGCGGCAAUGCAAGCCAGGGGUGAAAGCCUGGGGCCCAACCCCGGGACUGCUCUUGGAACUGGCUGGCUGGAGUGCAGGUGGGGCAGGCGGAAUUCCUGGUGUAGCGGUGAAAUGCGUAGAUAUCAGGAGGAACACCGGUGGCGAAGGCGGCCUGCUGGACUGCGACUGACGUUGAGGCCCGAAAGCGUGGGGAGCAAACAGGAUUAGAUACCCCGGUAGUC
rnacentral:rRNA from 1 species